AACGAACGCUGGCGGCAGGCCUAACACAUGCAAGUCGAACGCCGUAGCAAUACGGAGUGGCAGACGGGUGAGUAACGCGUGGGAACAUACCCUCCGGUUCGGAAUAACUCAGGGAAACUUGAGCUAAUACCGGAUACGUCCAAGGUUUUAAUCGGCCUCGGAGAAAGAUUUAUCGCUGGAGGAUUGGCCCGCGUCUGAUUAGCUUGUUGGUGAGGUAAUGGCUCACCAAGGCGACGAUCAGUAGCUGGUCUGAGAGGAUGAUCAGCCACAUUGGGACUGAGACACGGCCCAAACUCCUACGGGAGGCAGCAGUGGGGAAUAUUGGACAAUGGGCGAAAGCCUGAUCCAGCCAUGCCGCGUGAGUGAUGAAGGCCUUAGGGUUGUAAAGCUCUUUUACCCGGGAAGAUAAUGACGGUACCGGGAGAAUAAGCCCCGGCUAACUUCGUGCCAGCCGCCGCGGU
rnacentral:rRNA from 1 species